UACGAAGGGUGCAAGCGUUACUCGGAAUUACUGGGCGUAAAGCGUGCGUAGGUGGUUUGUUAAGUCUGAUGUGAAAGCCCUGGGCUCAACCUGGGAAUUGCAUUGGAUACUGGCAGGCUAGAGUGCGGUAGAGGGUAGUGGAAUUCCCGGUGUAGCAGUGAAAUGCGUAGAGAUCGGGAGGAACAUCUGUGGCGAAGGCGGCCAUCUGGACCAGCACUGACACUGAGGCACGAAAGCGUGGGGAGCAAACAGG
rnacentral:rRNA from 1 species